rnacentral:pre_miRNA from 1 species
UUCUUAUUGGAUGAUGACUGUCAUGUGUCAUGUUUUGAUUGUUCAAUGAAAACAACAAUGCAUUUAAUCUUUCAUGGAGUUGACAUUCAAUCACAACAUGACACGUGAUAGUCAUCAUCC